AUUGAACGCUGGCGGCAUGCUUUACACAUGCAAGUCGAACGGCAGCACGGACUUCGGUCUGGUGGCGAGUGGCGAACGGGUGAGUAAUACAUCGGAACGUGCCCAGUUGUGGGGGAUAACUACUCGAAAGAGUAGCUAAUACCGCAUGAGAACUGAGGUUGAAAGCAGGGGAUCGCAAGACCUUGUGCUACUAGAGCGGCCGAUGGCAGAUUAGGUAGUUGGUGGGAUAAAAGCUUACCAAGCCGACGAUCUGUAACUGUCUGAGAGGACGAUCAGCCACACUGGGACUGAGACACGGCCCAGACUCCUACGGGAGGCAGCAGUGGGGAAUUUUGGACAAUGGGCGCAAGCCUGAUCCAGCAAUGCCGCGUGCAGGAUGAAGGCCUUCGGGUUGUAAACUGCUUUUGUACGGAACGAAAAGCCCUGGGUUAAUACCCUGGGGUCAUGACGGUACCGUAAGAAUAAGCACCGGCUAACUACGUGCCAGCAGCCGCCGUAACAC
rnacentral:rRNA from 1 species